rnacentral:rRNA from 1 species
UACGUAGGGUGCGAGCGUUAAUCGGAAUUACUGGGCGUAAAGCGUGCGUAGGCGGCGCUGUAAGACAGAUGUGAAAUCCCCGGGCUUAACCUGGGAACUGCAUUUGUGACUGCAGUGCUAGAGUGUGUCAGAGGGGGGUGGAAUUCCACGUGUAGCAGUGAAAUGCGUAGAGAUGUGGAGGAACACCGAUGGCGAAGGCAGCCCCCUGGGAUAACACUGACGCUCAGGCACGAAAGCGUGGGGAGCAAACAGGAUUAGA